AAACAGGAGGUUGUGCAGCUCCUCCUGAGAGCUACCAAAGCAGGCCUAUAUGCAGCCUCAGCCUUUGCCUGCUGCUUCUUCGGGAGGCCAUCUAUCUUCUGGGAACUAAAGGACCUAAAGAACAGUAGUCUCCUCCUAUAUACAGUUUGUUCUCUCUUUUCUCUUCAUCAUCAAGAGGGGCAGAUAGAAUGAAACAUGAUACCAGGAGACGGAGAAGCAGAGGCAGAGACCAUGCUACACAGCAUACCAUUAUCCUUGC
rnacentral:lncRNA from 1 species